rnacentral:rRNA from 1 species
UACGAAGGGGGCUAGCGUUGCUCGGAAUCACUGGGCGUAAAGCGCACGUAGGCGGAUCUUUAAGUCAGAGGUGAAAUCCCAAGGCUCAACCUUGGAACUGCCUUUGAUACUGGGGAUCUCGAGUCCGGAAGAGGUUGGUGGAACUGCGAGUGUAGAGGUGAAAUUCGUAGAUAUUCGCAAGAACACCAGUGGCGAAGGCGGCUCACUGGUCCGGUACUGACGCUGAGGUGCGAAAGCGUGGGGAGCAAACAGG